GUUGCUUCACAAUGGUGAAUCCUCCUUUAUUUCUAAUAGGAGUUUUUCAAGUUUCCCGAAGCAUAAAUUAAACCAAAAAAACCAGUUUUAAACAGCGUAGUGUAAUUUUUUUAACUACACUAUGCUACCUGUCUACUGGUACAUUU